rnacentral:rRNA from 1 species
AAUACGUUCCCGGACCUUGCACACACCGCCCGUCAAGCCAUGGAAGCUGGGUGUACCUAAAGUCGGUAACCGCAAGGAGCCGCCUAGGGUAAAACUAGUGACUGGGGCC